GAAUGUUCUGUGGAGACUGGGGAUUAUCCUCUCCAAGUGGUCCCUGCUGGCCAGGAUUCUUCUGCACAGCAGGAGCAAGUGUCCCAAACCCUAAUGGAGCCACAAACACGAGCACUGGUGGCCCAUGCCCACCUGGCCACUUCUGCCCAGCUGGCACAGCUAUCCCUCAGCAGUGCCCUGUGGGCACUUACUCAGACAGGCUGUCCAUCGGGCAGGAGUCCAGCUGCACAGCGUGCCCAUCUGGCUAUUACUGCCGCUCUGCUGGCCUCACGGCACCCUCAGGACCCUGCUCAGCUGGGUACUACUGCCUCUCUGGAGCUUCCUCACCAUCACCACCUGGUGUGUGGGAGAAAGGAGGCCCUUGCCCUGUGAGCCACUUCUGUCCCGAAGGAAGCAGCUUUCCCUUAGCGUGCCUUGCAGGGACUUACAACAACCUCACCAGACAAGCUGCGUGCUUUCCUUGUGCUGCAGGCUACUACUGCCCAGAAAAUACUACCAGCUACAGUGUGAAUCCAUGCCCAGCUGGCUUCUACUGCCCCAGAGGAACCAGGUUUGCUACUGAGUUUCCCUGUCCUCGGGGCUACUUUAACCCAGACCCCAUGGCACAGAGCUUGGAUAGCUGCUUGCCCUGUCCUCCUGGGCAUUACUGUGGGAAGGAGAACUUGACAGCUGCAUCAGGCAAGUGUGAUGCAGGUGAGUUCUGGAUCUGUUUGGCUGCUGCCCUUGGAGGCAGUGCCUUAAGGAGGCUGUUGCAUACAACCUGCAAAUUUAUUGGGAUUAU
rnacentral:lncRNA from 1 species